GAUGAACGCUGGCGGCGUGCCUAACACAUGCAAGUCGAACGGAGAUUACGGACGGAAGUUUUCGGAUGGAAGCCUGUAAUUCUUAGUGGCGGACGGGUGAGUAACGCGUGGGCAACCUGCCCUAUACAGGGGGAUAGCAGCUGGAAACGGCUGGUAAGACCGCAUAAGUCGGUUAAAUCGCAUGAUUUGAUCGGGAAAUGAGCAAUCAGGUAUAGGAUGGGCCCGCGUCCGAUUAGCCAGUUGGCGGGGUAAAAGCCUACCAAAGCGACGAUCGGUAGCCGGACUGAGAGGUCGGACGGCCACAUUGGGACUGAGACACGGCCCAAACUCCUACGGGAGGCAGCAGUGGGGGAUAUUGCACAAUGGAGGAAACUCUGAUGCAGCGACGCCGCGUGAGUGAAGAAGUAUUUCGGUAUGUAAAGCUCUAUCAGCAGGGAAGAUGAUGACGGUACCUGACGAAGAAGCCCCGGCUAACUACGUG
rnacentral:rRNA from 1 species